GAAGCAUUGCAGCUUUCCCCAGAAGCACAGAGACUGUGCUGGAGGAAUGAGAUGAAGCAGGGCUACUCUACUUUCUAGUUUGUCUCCCCUUUUGGCUUAAAAUUUGUGGAAAUGGCAAAUAAAAUAGGGAAGGAAGUUCUUGAAGUAACUGUAUCAAAUGGAGUAUCUUAAAGAAAACAAAUAACAAAAGCCACCGAAAAGCAAACAUUGUUACACAACAGCACUGGCAACUUCAGUUAGAAAUGCAGAGCUGAAGCCAAGACUGUCUGUCUCCUCUCUGCAGAACAGCUGAGGUCUGGGAGCAGACAGUGUCAUGCUGCGGUGUUCGGGCAGCACACAGUGAGGCAGAGGAGAUACCAUCAUCUGAUGCAUAGCCCGGUGUCUCUCCAGGUGUAGCCAUGAGAACUCAAUGCUGGCACUGCCGAGGCACUGAUGCCAUAUGUGGUGUCACCCACCACGCCCUGGAAGAAUGUAGGUCUUUUAUUCAACUCUCUUUUUUCUUUUCUUUUUUUUUUUCCUUUCUUUUUUUUUUUUUUAUUUUUUUGGCAGAAGAAAGAGAAAAGCUGCUACCUGUCAUCACAGAUGUGUCAGGCUGAAGGUACUCCAGGAUAAGGACUGUGAUGUUCCUGCAACCUGGAGAAUUACAGAGGAAUUUCUUUGUGGCCCAGAAGGCGCUGACCUCAUUCCUCCACCUUCCCACGCCCAGCAGUUUACAGGUUCAUUGGGAAAGAUUAAGGUAAUGAACUGUUCCCUUUCAUUUCCCCAUCCAUAAGCAGAAAUCCUCAGGCCAGAGAUAAGACACUGUGUUCAUCAUAAUAUGUUCCCAAAGGCUGGAGGUGGAACUGUGUGCUGGUGGGCAGGAAGAGGAAAACGCUGCCUAGCACUGCCCUGGAGUGAGCGAUAAAUCUGUAUGAAGGAGAAGGACGUGGGGAUCCAGGGACAAAAAGUGCAGGACAAAGGACAGAAGAACACCCAGCAGCAAACAUAUUUCCUUCUAAGCCAGCAAUGUUUUAUGCACGUGGGGAUCCCUUUGUGCCCAACUCCACCAAAGCUCCCUUCAAAGUAUGCACAGAUGCAAGCAACAGGGAGAAGGCGAGACCUGAGGAAUGCACUCUGAGCAGCAGCAGGAAUCACUCAGCCUCAGUGAUGCUCUGUGUUUUCAGCUGGGGCUGAUGCUCCCCCAGUCCUUCUGUCAGCAGGGCAGGGCUGGGAGAACACACUCAAUAGCAGUGAAAUCAAAGGGCACAAAUCAUGUUUGAACACAUCUGUAUCUGCCAAGCAAGGUCUUGUGGAUCUCAGAGGUAAGACUGCUUUCUCAGUGUGGUGUUCUCUAAAGAGCAAAUGGUGGAGUGUGGGACAGGCAGGGAGGCAUCGGCCAGCUUGAAAUGGGGGCUGUAGGGGCUGUGGCACAUGGAUCUGGAUCUCCAGAGGCGCUGAUGAGAAAUCCACACUGCUUGGUGCCCGGCAGGACACAGGAACCUGAGGGAGCCAUGGUCAU
rnacentral:lncRNA from 1 species